GAUGAACGCUGGCGGCGUGCCUAAUACAUGCAAGUCGAGCGAACAGACGAGGAGCUUGCUCCUCUGACGUUAGCGGCGGACGGGUGAGUAACACGUGGAUAACCUACCUAUAAGACUGGGAUAACUUCGGGAAACCGGAGCUAAUACCGGAUAAUAUAUUGAACCGCAUGGUUCAAUAGUGAAAGACGGUUUUGCUGUCUCUUAUAGAUGGAUCCGCACCGCAUUAGCUAGUUGGUAAGGUAACGGCUUACCAAGGCAACGAUGCGUAGCCGACCUGAGAGGGUGAUCGGCCACACUGGAACUGAGACACGGUCCAGACUCCUACGGGAGGCAGCAGUAGGGAAUCUUCCGCAAUGGGCGAAAGCCUGACGGAGCAACGCCGCGUGAGUGAUGAAGGUCUUCGGAUCGUAAAACUCUGUUAUUAGGGAAGAACAAAUGUGUAAGUAACUAUGCACGUCUUGACGGUACCUAAUCAGAAAGCCACGGCUAACUACGUG
rnacentral:rRNA from 1 species